ensembl:misc_RNA Metazoa_SRP Metazoan signal recognition particle RNA
GCUGGGCAUGGUGGCUCAUGCCUGUAAUCCCAGCAAUGUAGGCAGCCAAGACAGGUGGAUCACUUGAGUCCAGGAGUUCGAGACCAGCCUGAGCAACAUGGCAAAACCCUGUCUCUACUAAAAAUACAAAAAUUAGCCGGGUGUGUUGGUGUGAGCCUGCAGUCCCAGCUAUUCAAGAGGCUGAGGUGGGAGGAUUGCCUGAGCCUGGUAGUUGGAGUUUGCAGUGAGCUGUGAUCAUGCCACUGUAUUCCAGCCUGGGCAACAGAGUGAGACCCUGUCAUA